UUCGAUGAAGAACGCAGCGAAAUGCGAUAAGUAAUGUGAAUUGCAGAAUUCAGUGAAUCAUCGAAUCUUUGAACGCACAUUGCGCCCUUUGGUAUUCCUUAGGGCAUGCCUGUUCGAGCGUCACUAAAAACCCCGUCACAUUAUGUGUGGUAUUGGCAGAAGUGGGUAGUCCCACCCUGCUGGAAUGAAUAGGCUGGAAAAGUAGACCAUAGCAACAGACUUUCAGAGUGUUUUUAAAUGCUAAAUUAGUUUGAAGCCGGUUGGAACCCCAGGCCAUUUGACCCCCAUUCUGCAUGAAGCAGUAAGGUUGACCUCGGAUCAGGUAGGGAUACCCGCUGAACUUAAGCAUAUCAAUAAGCGGAG
rnacentral:rRNA from 1 species